AUGCGUGGUCCUAGAGCUACGGUGACACUUCGCGUGCGGUGUAGGCGCAUCUUCGCUCUGUUGGCCGUGGCUUUAGUAAGCACACACCUGCCUGCUACUCUGGUUAUCGUGGCGACGGCAGGUCUGGAUUGCCAGACAGGUUUUUCUUUUUACCUCGAGGCUUUCUCUGAAGGGAGUCGGAGCAUUUAAAAGGCGGCCUCAAGGUGGAUUGAGUCGGGGGAGGAUUAGCAGUAUUUGCUUAGGUUGUAAAACCGCGACUUUAUCUAAUAAAUCGCCAUUCAAGGUGCAAAUACAAACUUGGAACAGAGGUGGAGUCUCGCUCUGUCGCCCAGGCUGGGGUGGAGUGACGCGAUCUCGGCUCACCGCAAGCUCCGCCUCCCGGGUUCACGCCAUUCUCCUGUCUCAGCCUCCCCAGUAGCUGGGACUACAGGCGUCCACCACCACGCCCGGCUAAUUUUUUGUACUUUUAGUAGAGACGGGUUUCACCGUGUCAGCCAGGAUGGUCUCGAUCUCCUGACCUCGUGAUCUGCCCGCCUCAGCCUCCCUAUAUGUUUUAAAAUAUAAAUUUAUUCUUAUAAAAAUAAAUUUAAACUAGAUUGAGGUAGUAAUUACAACAGUCCAGCACAUUAUGGAUAAUUAAUAUUUAUAUUUAUUUGGCUGGUUUUUCUUUUAUAGUAAACUUUAUGCCUUAAUGAACAUUUAUCAGUAUGACUCACUUCAUUCAGUCAUUGAAUAACUAUUUAUUGAGGCUGUAUACUGUGCUAGGUAGGCAUGGAACUACAUGCAUGAUCAAAAUGAGACAGAUUCCUAACAUCACUGAGAUUAUACACAGCAGGGGAAAGAAAAUAUUCAAACUUCAAAUAGUUUCUUCAUCCAAAAAAUUUAUUAUUAGUACCUCCUUGUCAACAUAUGGUAUAUGUUGUGAGUGCAGAAACUUAGGGUUUAUCAAUAACAUGAAGAAAUUUCUACCUAUUAUUUUCACAUCCAUCCCAAAUACCUAGUAUUUAAGUUUUAUUUUUACUUAUGUAGUUAGUAUAUAAGUAAACAUUAAUUAAAUCGUAUUAUGCCAUAGACUUAUAGGUUCAUAGUAAUUACACACAGUGCAUGAUUACCUGCCAAAAAGAAAAUGUUUUCUUAAUUUGGUGUCGUUAACUUUACCUCAUGAUGACCAAUAGGUGGAGCUAUUUCCAUUUUUUCCCUCAGCCUUUUGGCUUGAAUUUGAGGUAGAUAAGAAAGCCAAGUAAGAUGAACUAUAGAAUGUCUUAUAUACCUAAGAAUAUUUAGCUAUGAAGGUUUUCUGAAGCUCUUAAGACAUACAUACUAUAUUGUACUAUACCAGAAGCCCUUAUAAACCAUCUCGUUUUUUUCAUUGAAAAAAUAUUCCAGCUUCAACUUCAAAUGCCUAAAAAUAUAUCAAAAUCUUCAGGCAAACAAUUUUAAGUACUAAUUAAUAUCAUGUAGUUAAAAAUUAGCAUCCAAAAUUAAAAUGAUGUUUCUCACUAAUUUAAAAAAAAAUUCUGCAGUAGAUUCCAAAGAGUAAAAAGACCCAAGUCUCAAAUCUCCCUGGUAAAAUUAAAGUUAUCUCCAAUUUCCUUCCCUUAAGAAAGCAUAGAUAAAGAGUGAAAUCAGAAUUGUUCUUAUUGUGGAUGUAAUUCAGAAAUCUUCUGCCUUUGUUUCCACAGUACAAAAUAAGGGUAUUAGAGAGCAUCUCAAAAAUCCCUUUCAGGGUUAACAUUUUGUAUUACUACAAUACCUUCUUUCUCCUUCAGUGUGCAGCAGUGGAAAUUUACAAAAUGCUAGGAUUAAGGCAAUUUAGAGUUGCCUUGUCUUAAUCCUAGCAUUUUGCACAACUUAGAGUUGCCUUGUCUUAAUCCUAGCAUUUUGCACAACUUAAGAGUUGCCUUGUCUUAAUCCUAGCAUUUCAAAAUCUCCAUCAUAGUAAUAAGGGUCCGUACACAGAAGAAACAAUGUCUUGGUUGGACCAUAACAUUUAAUUACUGUAUUUAAAUUAGCAAACUCAUAAUCCAUGCAUCCUAUGUAUGCUAAUGCUAUUAAUCAAAUGUGUUAUUAAAACAAAUGUCUCAGAAAUACUUGAUAAUGCUAAAUAAGAGUUUAUCUUAUAUAAAUUGUACUUUAAUAAAGGGUGGUAUUUAAUACUUAUGUACAUAAACUUUAUUUAAAAGAAUACAAUUAAGCCCAAAUUAUGUUGUUUUAUAUGGAGACCAACUUCAUUUUAUUUCUAGAGAUAGUGAGAUAAAAUCUGUAUGAUACUGGCUCUAUUAAUUGAAACUUAUUAAACAGAUUUACUAAAUCUAUAGUUGCUUAUUAGCUAUGUUUUCCCCAAGUCUCUGCUGAACUUACUCAAUAAGAAUCACCUAGCCAAUGCACAAAAUUGUGAUAAAUUUUUAAAAUAUUGCUUUAAAGCCAGGCUUGGUGGCUCACACCUGUAAUCCCAGCACUUUGGGAUGAUGAGAGGGGUGGAUCACUUGAGGUCAGGAGUUCAAGACCAGUCUGGCCAACAUGGUGAAACCCCAUCUCUACUAAAAAUACAAGAAAUAAGCUGGGCGUGGUGGUGUGCACCUGUAAUCCCAGUUACUCUGGAGGCUGAGGUGGGAGAAUAGCUUGAAUCCAGGAGGCGGAAGUUGCAGCGUGCCGAGAUAGCACCACUGCACUCCAGCCUAGGCAACAGAGAGAGACUCAGUCUCAAAAAAAAAUAUUGCUUUAAGCCAUUACAUUUUGAAGUAACUCAUUAUACAGCAAAACUGUCUGAGGCACAUGGAGUCCAUGUUGCCAGCAAAAAAAAAAAUUAAAUAAAUUUUUAAAAAUUAGUGCUUUGGGGAUUAAUGCCAUUAUUUGUGUAAAAAAAAAAACAGACUUGAAUUCCCAAGUCUGUUCCUGUCUUUUUGUAUAUAGU
ensembl:lncRNA TMEM30A-DT TMEM30A divergent transcript